rnacentral:rRNA from 1 species
ACUCCUACGGGAGGCAGCAGGAGGCAGCAGUAAGGAAUAUUGCGCAACGGGCGAAAGCCUGACGCAGCGACGCCGCGUGGGGGAUGAAGGUCUUCGGAUUGUAAACCCCUUUCGGGAGGGAAGAUGGAGCGAGCAAUCGUCUCGGAGCGUACCUCCCAAGCAGCCACGGCCAACUUCGUGCCACUCGCCCGCCAGCAGCCGCGGUAAU